UGUAUCAAGGGACCCACCACUUCUCGUAAAAAAUAAUUGGAAAAUAGCAAAAGAGCCGUCAUUUAACAUAACGGGUCUCUAUUUUCAUUCAUUUCCUGGCGCCAAGACUUUCGCAAAACCCAAUUUCACCCUAGGUUUUUCUUUUCCCUCUUUCUUCUUCCCUGGACAUACAACCCCUAGGUUUUUUCUUUGCCUCUUUCUUCUUCCCUGGACAUACAACCUAAGGCAACCAUCGACGAAUUCAUUGACGAACUCACCACUACCAACGGCUAAUCGGAGAACUAAGUUACGAUUGGCGACUUCACUCCCACUGGCGACCUCGACACAAUCGCUAGCAAACUACAAAUUUAGGUGUUUAAUAGAUACAAUGGUGUGAUUGAUGGAGUCCAGUUCUCAUCACAUGACCCUGUAGGUGGCCUACUAGCUAGAUCUACCCAUUGAUCCAUCUGCUGGUAUUCGUUGUGCAGAGGUUUGUUUCUUGUUGAAGGUAAGGUGUAAGGGAAGUUCACAUUUGGAAACCAGCCAAACAGUGUUGGAGGAGAACAUAUGCUUGUGCCCGCAUUGGCUAAUAAUUAGUAUUGUCAAUUUGUUGAUGCUUGUCACAAUUAUGUAAACUUUUGAGCCUUAUUUUAUUUUGUUAUUUUUAUAUUUUUGAAGAUUACAAUUGAUGUAAAGUGGGAAAUAAUUUAUUGGGUAAUUGUAAGAAUUAGUUUGAAAUUAAAAAUUUGGUUAAAUGCUGAUUUUUUAUGCCGAAAAAUGGUCGUUUAUGCUAUUUUUUUUUUUUAAUAAAAGUUAAUGAAAAGAGACCCGUUAGGUAUAAAAAGGGCUCUCUCGAGUAUAAUAAUAAAAAAUAGUAAAAUAUUCUAAGAGACCCUCUAUCUAACAUAUGGGGUCUGAAUUUGUUAAUUAUAAUAAUAUUAAAAAAUUCAAAGAGACCCUUUAUCUUACAUAUGGGGUCUGAGUUUGAUGGAAAAAAUAUUAUUUAAAAAUUCAAAGAGACCCCCUAGGUUAAAUAUUAGGUCUGAAUAUUUUUGCAAACAUACCCCAUAUCUCUAAUAAGGGG